UAGUGUUUCAAAAUCACAAAGCCUUUUUUAAAUGAGAAGGUAUUUUCAAAACUGCUAUGUCCUCUAAUGGGUUAUUCUAUAAGUUUUCUCUGCUUUUUAAAGUUGUAUGCUUUUUUUAUUAUUAUUAUUUAAUUCAGAAUGUUGGCGACAUGGCACAUGUAUCAAAGUCUUCUGUCACAGUUGACUCAGCAAGAAUGAAGACAUUGAUACUCUUUUGCAUUAUGUAAUACACAAGUUGGCAGUUUCUCGCCCACUGCCACCCAAAUACAGGUAUAAGAAAUCCUUAUCUGUACGUAACAGACGAUGGAGACGAAGUGAUUAUUAUGUGUGGCAAAAGAUUAUUUUAUGAA
rnacentral:lncRNA from 1 species